rnacentral:rRNA from 1 species
UGCUUGCACCCUGCUGCCSAGCGGCGGACGGGUGAGUAAUGCAUAGGAAACUGCCCAGKMGUGGGGGAUAGCCCGGGGAAACCCGGAUUAAUACCGCAUACGCCCUACGGGGGAAAGCAGGGGCUCUUCRGACCUUGCGCUAUUGGAUGUGCCUAUGUCGGAUUAGCUGGUUGGWAGGGUAACGGGCCUACCAAGGCGACGAUCCGUAGCUGGUCUGAGAGGAUGAUCAGCCACAUCGGGACUGAGACACGGCCCGAACUCCUACGGGAGGCAGCAGUGGGGAAUAUUGGACAAUGGGGGCAACCCUGAUCCAGCCAUGCCGCGUGUGUGAAGAAGGCUUUCGGGUUGUAAAGCACUUUCAGUAGGGAGGAAAACCUUAAGGUUAAUACCCUUGAGGCUUGACGUUACCUACAGAAGAAGCACCGGCUAACUCCGUGCCAGCAGCCGCGGUAAUACGGAGGGUGCAAGCGUUAAUCGGAAUUACUGGGCGUAAAGCGCGCGUAGGCGGUUAGAUAAGCGAGAUGUGAAAGCCCCGGGCUUAACCUGGGAACGGCAUUUCGAACUGUCUGGCUAGAGUAUGGUAGAGGGUAGUGGAAUUUCCUGUGUAGCGGUGAAAUGCGUAGAUAUAGGAAGGAACACCAGUGGCGAAGGCGGCUACC